GGCUGGUCCAAGGGCAGUGGUGUUUACAACUAACUGAUCACACCCAGUUACAGAUUUCUUUGUUCCUUUUCCACUCCCACUGCUUCAUUUGAACAAACAAAC
rnacentral:Y_RNA from 10 species